rnacentral:lncRNA from 1 species
CUCCAGCCUGGGUAACAAAAACGAAACUCCGUCUCAAAAAAAAAAAAAGAAAAAAAAAAAGAAGAAGAAGGUGAAAGUGAUGCUUCGACACCUGUAAUUAAGCAAAUAUUUUUUUUCCCUUGUUUGUCAGAAAAUUGGGGGCCAGGAGGAUGCUGGUGAUUGCUAAGCAAAACUUCUAAUUUAUUGAAAAGGCUAUGGAGCCCAGAAAAGGAGUGCAAUGGCGUGAUCUCGGCUCAUCACAACCUCCAUUUCCCUGGUUCAAGCAAUU